GGCUCGACGAUCCUGUAGCUCAGUGGUUAGAGCGAUGGAUUUAUGAGCAAUAAGUCGUGGGUUCGACCCCCGGCGGGGCUA
rnacentral:tRNA from 1 species